rnacentral:rRNA from 1 species
ACGCGUGAGGAACCUGCCUCAAAGAGGGGGACAACAGUUGGAAACGACUGCUAAUACCGCAUAAGCCCACGGCUCGGCAUCGAGCAGAGGGAAAAGGAGCAAUCCGCUUUGAGAUGGCCUCGCGUCCGAUUAGCUAGUUGGUGAGGUAACGGCCCACCAAGGCGACGAUCGGUAGCCGGACUGAGAGGUUGAACGGCCACAUUGGGACUGAGACACGGCCCAG